rnacentral:rRNA from 1 species
GGCAGAGGGGGCAAGCGUUGCUCGGAAUCACUGGGCGUAAAGGGCGCGUAGGCGGGAUGGCAAGUCGGUCGUGAAAUCCUUCGGCCCAACCGAAGAACGUCGGCCGAUACUGCCGUUCUUGAGGGAUGCAGAGGAGACUGGAAUUCCCGGUGUAGCGGUGAAAUGUGUAGAGAUCGGGAGGAACACCGGUGGCGAAGGCGGGUCUCUGGGCAUUUCCUGACGCUGAGGCGCGAAAGCGUGGGGAGCAAACGGG